rnacentral:rRNA from 1 species
GAUGAACGCUAGCUACAGGCUUAACACAUGCAAGUCGAGGGGUAACGAGAGGAAAGCUUGCUUUCCUUGUCGACGACCGGCGCACGGGUGAGUAACGCGUAUCCAACCUGCCCCCAACUAGGGAAUAACCUUGCGAAAGUAAGACUAAUACCCUAUAAUUUCCUCAGAUGUCAUCUGACGAGGAAUAAAGAUUUAUCGGUUGUGGAUGGGGAUGCGUCUGAUUAGCUUGUUGGCGGGGUAACGGCCCACCAAGGCAACGAUCAGUAGGGGUUCUGAGAGGAAGGUCCCCCACAUUGGAACUGAGACACGGCCCAGACUCCUACGGGAGGCAGCAGUGAGGAAUAUUGGUCAAUGGGCGGAAGCCUGAACCAGCCAAGUAGCGUGCAGGAUGACGGCCCUAUGGGUUGUAAACUGCUUUUAUACAGGAAUAAAGUUAGCCACGUGUGGUUAUUUGUAGGUACUGUAUGAAUAAGGACCGGCUAAUUCCGUGCCAGCAGCCGCGGUAA